rnacentral:misc_RNA from 1 species
UUCCAAUUGAAGGCAGUUCGUAAUGGAGCCAUUUUCAUUCGGAUUGGAGAGGUGAGUGUCAACAUCAUCUGUUAGAAGAAAAGAAAGCAGAAGCAGCAUUAAGUGCCUGGCAAGCUUGAUUUUGAGCAGAAACAGAAAGGAGAAAUAAAUAGCAUUGAUGAUUUGUGUGCCAUUUUGGCUACAUACUGAUUCAUGGUGAAAUGACUGUCAACCAAUCUGUUCCACAUUACUCCCACUCCUUCAGUUUUGGGUGCUAUGGCUUCACACUCAAGAUCUGAC